UACGAAGGGGGCUAGCGUUGCUCGGAAUCACUGGGCGUAAAGCGCACGUAGGCGGACUCUUAAGUCGGUGGUGAAAUCCUGGAGCUCAACUCCAGAACUGCCUUCGAUACUGAGAGUCUUGAGUCCGGGAGAGGUGAGUGGAACUGCGAGUGUAGAGGUGAAAUUCGUAGAUAUUCGCAAGAACACCAGUGGCGAAGGCGGCUCACUGGCCCGGUACUGACGCUGAGGUGCGAAAACGUGGGGAGCAAACAGG
rnacentral:rRNA from 1 species